rnacentral:sRNA from 1 species
CACACGCAAGGGGCGGAAACCGAGCUUAUCGGGGUCCUUCCGGUGGCCGAAGGGAAAUCUCUCCGGUCCACAUCCUCUUGCGGAGGUCAAACCGGAAAAACUCAGGAGAUAA